CCGGACCUGUAGGAUWGACAGAAUGAUAGCUCUUUUUUGAUUCAGUGGAUGGUGGUGCAUGGCCGUUCUUAGUUGGUGGAGUGAUUUGUCUGGUUAAUUCCGAUAACGAACGAGACUCUAAUCUGCUAACUAGUAUGCUGAUUCAGGCACUUCGGUGUCACAGUCAGUGCUGACUUCUUAUAGAGAUAAGCGGAUUUAAGCCGCAAGAAAGAGAGCAAUAACAGGUCUGUGAUGCCCA
rnacentral:rRNA from 1 species